rnacentral:lncRNA from 1 species
UUUGAUUUUCAGCAAACCUUCAGAAGGCAAAAGGGAAAGUUUUCCCAUGGGCCAACGUGGAUAUGUUUCUGUAAUAGUCUGCUCAGCCUUCUACAACAAGAUGUCGCAGACUGGGUGACUUAAACCAGGGAUCCUCAAACCCUGGCAAUGGAUCGGUACGGGUCAGUGGCCUGUUAGGAAUCAGGCCACGUAGCAGGAGUCCAUAUUUGGAAUAACAACAAUAUAACACUCCUUUGGUAGUUAUAUUUUCUCACCUUCUUUACAGAAGAAGAAAUCCUUACUUAGAAAGGAAAAGAAUACCUCGAAAUUUGUCACUUUGGACUUCAAACAGAGCAGCUGAAGAGCAGCAAAGGCAGGGAAAGGGCUUUCUCUGAUCUACCCUUAACCGACUAAGACACUGUAUUAGGAUCUGGUGACAUAGUGGGAUAGAAGGACAAAGCCACGCUCUUAUGAAGCUUACAUUCUAGGAUAAUUCUUUGCCAUAAACAUAAACCAAACACUUCCACUAGAAAUGCUGACCAAUGCCUGGAUUCUCUG